UCUGAAUCUGCGNACGGCUCCGCAAACCAGUUGUAAACUAUAGCAAGCAAGCCUGGGUUCUCCUCACGGGGGGCUCGGGCAAAACGGAUAACCCUGGUAAUUCUGAGGCUAAUACGAGAUCGUACUCCCUGGCUGACCGGGCAACUGGAAGGCUGGGGGGUGUGUGAUUUAGCACGAGGAAACUGCUGGGAAUAGACACAUGCCUGGACCGCGCCAAAAACAGAUGGGGCUUCCCGCAAGGGUCGUCCUGCCUGAGCGGCUCUUGCUUUGUGCUUCUGACCUAUCAACUAGAUGGCAGCGUAACGGACAUGCUAUGGUGACAACGGGUACAG
rnacentral:rRNA from 1 species